GACGAACGCUGGCGGCGUGCUUAACACAUGCAAGUCGAACGGAAAGGCCUGCUUUCCCUUGUGGAUUGCGGGUACUCGAGUGGCGAACGGGUGAGUAACACGUGAGUGAUCUGCCCCCAACUUGGGUAUAAGCCUGGGAAACUGGGUCUAAUUCCCGAUAGGACUGCAGGGUGGUGCCUGUGGUGGAAAACGAUUUUCUAGUAGUUGGGGAUGAGCUCGCGGCCUAUCAGCUUGUUGGUGGGGUAAUGGCCUACCAAGGCGGCGACGGGUAGCCGGCCUGAGAGGGGGGAAGGGAAAAUUGGGACUGAGAUACGGCCCAGACUACUACGGGAGGCAGCAGUGGGGAAUAUUGCACAAUGGGCGGAAGCCUGAUGCAGCGACGCCGCGUGGGGGAUGACGGCCUUCGGGUUGUAAACUCCUUUCGACCGCGAGGAAGCCACCUGGUUGGAAGGGUGGUGACGGUAGUGGUAGAAGAAGCACCGGCUAACUACGUG
rnacentral:rRNA from 1 species